rnacentral:rRNA from 1 species
GAUCAUGGCUCAGGAUGAACGCUAGCUACAGGCUUAACACAUGCAAGUCGAGGGGCAGCAUGAACUUAGCUUGCUAAGUUUGAUGGCGACCGGCGCACGGGUGAGUAACACGUAUCCAACCUGCCGAUGACUCGGGGAUAGCCUUUCGAAAGAAAGAUUAAUACCCGAUGGCAUAAUUCUUCCGCAUGGUAGAACUAUUAAAGAUUCAUCGGUAACGGAUGGGGAUGCGUUCCA